rnacentral:rRNA from 1 species
UGCAGUCGAGCGAGAUCUUCGGAUCUAGCGGCGGACGGGUGAGUAACGCGUGGGAACGUACCCUCUUCUGCGGGAUAGCCACUGGAAACGGUGAGUAAUACCGCAUACGCCCUUCGGGGGAAAGAUUUAUCGGAGGAGGAUCGGCCCGCGUUGGAUUAGGUAGUUGGUGGGGUAAUGGCCUACCAAGCCUACGAUCCAUAGCUGGUUUUAGAGGAUGAUCAGCCACACUGGGACUGAGACACGGCCCAGACUCCUACGGGAGGCAGCAGUGGGGAAUCUUAGACAAUGGGCGCAAGCCUGAUCUAGCCAUGCCGCGUGAGUGACGAAGGCCUUAGGGUCGUAAAGCUCUUUCGCCUGUGAUGAUAAUGACAGUAGCAGGUAAAGAAACCCCGGCUAACUCCGUGCCAGCAGCCGCGGUAAUACGGAGGGGGUUAGCGUUGUUCGGAAUUACUGGGCGUAAAGCGCACGUAGGCGGAUUGGAAAGUAUGGGGUGAAAUCCCAGGGCUCAACCCUGGAACGGCCUCAUAAACUUCCAGUCUGGAGUUCGAGAGAGGUGAGUGGAAUUCCGAGUGUAGAGGUGAAAUUCGUAGAUAUUCGGAGGAACACCAGUGGCGAAGGCGGCUCACUGGCUCGAUACUGACGCUGAGGUGCGAAAGUGUGGGGAGCAAACAGGAUUAGAUACCCUGGUAGUCCACACC